GAUGAACGCUGGCGGCGUGCCUAAUACAUGCAAGUCGAGCGAACAGACGAGGAGCUUGCUCCUCUGACGUUAGCGGCGGACGGGUGAGUAACACGUGUAUAACCUACCUAUAAGACUGGGAUAACUUCGGGAAACCGGAGCUAAUACCGGAUAAUAUAUUGAACCGCAUUGUUCAAUAGUGAAAGACGGUUUUGCUGUCACUUAUAGCUGGAUCCGCGCCGCAUUAGCUAGUUGGUAAGGUAACGGCUUACCAAGGCAACGAUGCGUAGCCGACCUGAGAGGGUGAUCGGCCACACUGGAACGGAGACACGGUCCAGACUCCUACGGGAGGCAGCAGUAGGGAAUCUUCCGCAAUGGGCGAAAGCCUGACGGAGCAACGCCGCGUGAGUGAUGAAGGUCUUCGGAUCGUAAAACUCUGUUAUUAGGGAAGAACAAAUGUGUAAGUAACUAUGCACGUCUUGACGGUACCUAAUCAGAAAGCCACGGCUAACUACGUG
rnacentral:rRNA from 1 species